AUGGUUUUCCCCUCUUUUUGGCAGAGUGGGAUAGAGCUGUGAUCUUUAAGAUCUUGUCUUUCUUCUUAGUGGACAGGGGAGAAGAGGUGCAGGAUUGAGAUAACCUACCUUGUUUUAACCUGAGUGACUCUCUCCUAGCAGAGAGAGCCGGAUAGGCUCCAUUUUAGUUUCUUCACUUGCAGUCUCCUUUAUCCCCCUUAAGGGAAUAACUAGUGCACGCUGACUCCACGCACAUCCAGGAAUGCACCUGCUGAUAAGAGACUGAGGCAGGCUGUACCAGCAGCUCCUGGGAAUGGGCUCGGUGGAAGGUCAUCCUGCUGCUCUCUCAGUUUCCCAGGGGUUUGUGCGUCUGCCUUCUGCUAUGCAUUUUCCCACGGCCUUGUUGGUUCCUUCCACAGAGGCAAAUCAGAGACAAGAGACGUCUUUUCCAAAACUCUAUCAAAAUGACAGAGCCUCGGCAUGGCCUUCCCCACCUCCUGCAGAUUGUGUCACACAGCUCACGGUGGACAGUGUGCCAGCUCUUGGGCAUGGCGAAAGAACGAUCUUUGGAAGAGCAGGGAAGCCCAGAAGUUCACAGAAAAGAAAGCUGUCAAGUUCUUCUCGCAACCGUGAUGAUGCCUGCUUCCCCUUCCGCCAUAACUGUAAGCUUCCUGAGGCCUCCCCUGCCAUGUGGAACUGUGUAAAUUCUAGAGUCUCAUCACUGGGAGCACACAGCAGACAAUGGUCAUGA
rnacentral:lncRNA from 1 species